rnacentral:rRNA from 1 species
GACGAACGCUGGCGGCGUGCUUAACACAUGCAAGUCGAACGAUGAAGCUGGAGCUUGCUCCGGUGGAUUAGUGGCGAACGGGUGAGUAACACGUGAGCAAUCUGCCCUUGACUCUGGGCUAACUGCGGGAAACUGUAGCUAAUACCGGAUACUUUCACUGGAAGGCAUCUUCUGGUGAAGAAAGAAUUUCGGUCAAGGAUGAGCUCGCGGCCUAUCAACUUGUUGGUGAGGUAGCGGCUCACCAAGGCGACGACGGGUAGCCGGCCUGCGAGGGUGACCGGCCACACUGGGACUGAGACACGGCCCAGACUCCUACGGGAGGCAGCAGUGGGGAAUAUUGCACAAUGGGCGCAAGCCUGAUGCAGCAACGCCGCGUGGGGGAUGAGGGCCUUCGGGUUGUAAACCUCUUUUAGCAGGGAAGAAGCGAAAGUGACGGUACCUGCAGAAAAAGCACCGGCUAACUACGUGCCAGCCGCCGCGGUAA